rnacentral:rRNA from 1 species
AAACUAACAGAUUUACUUCGGUAAUGACGUUAGGAAAGCGAGCGGCGGAUGGGUGAGUAACACGUGGGGAACCUGCCCCAUAGUCUGGGAUACCACUUGGAAACAGGUGCUAAUACCGGAUAAGAAAGCAGAUCGCAUGAUCAGCUUUUAAAAGGCGGCGUAAGCUAUCGCUAUGGGAUGGCCCCGCGGUGCAUUAGCUUGUUGGAAAGGUAAAGGCUUACCAAGGCGAUGAUGCAUAGCCGAGUUGAGAGACUGAUCGGCCACAUUGGGACUGAGACACGGCCCAAACUCCUACGGGAGGCAGCAGUAGGGAAUCUUCCACAAUGGACGCAAGUCUGAUGGAGCAACGCCGCGUGAGUGAAGAAGGUUUUCGGAUCGUAAAGCUCUGUUGUUGGUGAA